UACGGAGGGUGCGAGCGUUACUCGGAAUUACUGGGCGUAAAGCGUGCGUAGGUGGUUUGUUAAGUCUGUUGUGAAAGCCCCGGGCUCAACCUGGAAUGGCAAUGGAUACUGGCAAGCUAGAGUGCGGUAGAGGGUAGUGGAAUUCCCGGUGUAGGCGGUGAAAUGCGUAGAGAUCGGGAGGAACACCAGUGGCGAAGGCGGGCUACCUGGACCAGCACUGACACUGAGGCACGAAAGCGUGGGGAGCAAACAGGA
rnacentral:rRNA from 1 species